UACGUAGGGUCCGAGCGUUGUCCGGAAUUACUGGGCGUAAAGAGCUCGUAGGUGGUUUGUCGCGUUGUUCGUGAAAACUCACAGCUCAACUGUGGGCGUGCGGGCGAUACGGGCAGACUGGAGUACUGCAGGGGAGACUGGAAUUCCUGGUGUAGCGGUGGAAUGCGCAGAUAUCAGGAGGAACACCGGUGGCGAAGGCGGGUCUCUGGGCCGAAACUGACGCUGAGGAGCGAAAGCGUGGGGAGCGAACAGG
rnacentral:rRNA from 1 species